rnacentral:rRNA from 1 species
CCACACGGUUCGUAGGGACCUGCGGAAGGAUCAUUAUCGUAGGGCUUCGGCCCUGUCGAGAUAGAACCCUUGCCUUUUUGAGUACCUCUUGUUUCCUCGGCGGGCUCGCCCGCCGAUGGACCCCCCAAAAAACACUUUGCAGUACCUGUAAUAGUCUGAACAACAAACAAAAAUUAAAACUUUCAACAACGGAUCUCUUGGUUCUGGCAUCGAUGAAGAACGCAGCGAAAUGCGAUAAGUAGUGUGAAUUGCAGAAUUCAGUGAAUCAUCGAAUCUUUGAACGCACAUUGCGCCCUUUGGUAUUCCUUAGGGCAUGCCUGUUCGAGCGUCAUUUAAACCUUCAAGCUCAGCUUGGUGUUGGGUGACUGUCCCCUCAAAAGGACUCGCCUCAAAAUCAUUGGCGGCCGGUACGUUGGCUUCGAGCGCAGCAGAAACGCGAACUCGGAGACUGUGUGUCGGCUCCCAGAAGCCAUCUUUAAAUUUUGACCUCGGAUCAGGUAGGGAUACCCGCUGAACUUAAGCAUAUCAUAA